rnacentral:rRNA from 1 species
AGAGUUUGAUCAUGGCUCAGGACGAACGCUGGCGGCGUGCCUAAUACAUGCAAGUCGUGCGGGGAGGCUCAAGACGGAGGCUUCGGCGGAAGUUUUGAGACUCCUAGCGGCGGACGGGUGAGUAACGCGUGGGCAACCUGCCCUAUCGCCCGGGAUAACUCUCGGAAACGAGGGCUAAUACCGGAUGCGGUCACCGGGUCGCAUGGUCUGGUGACGAAAGGGAAACCGCGAUAGGAUGGGCCCGCGUCCCAUUAGCUAGUUGGUGGGGUAACGGCCUACCAAGGCGACGAUGGGUAGCCGGCCUGAGAGGGUGGACGGCCACACUGGGACUGAGACACGGCCCAGACUCCUACGGGAGGCAGCAGUAGGGAAUCUUCGGCAAUGGGCGAAAGCCUGACCGAGCGACGCCGCGUGGGGGAUGAAGGUCUUCGGAUCGUAAACCCCUGUCCUUGGGGACGAAAGAUGACGGUACCCAAGGAGGAAGCCCCGGCUAACUACGUGCCAGCAGCCGCGGUAAAACGUAGGGGGCGAGCGUUGUCCGGAAUUACUGGGCGUAAAGGGUGCGUAGGCGGCCGUUUAAGUCCUGUGUGAAAGGCUCCGGCUCAACCGGAGAGAGCCAUGGGAAACUGGACGGCUUGAGCGCCGGAGAGGGUUGCGGAAUUCCCGGUGUAGCGGUGAAAUGCGUAGAGAUCGGGAGGAACACCAGUGGCGAAGGCGGCAACCUGGACGGUGACUGACGCUGAGGCACGACAGCUGGGGGAGCAAACAGGAUUAGAUACCCUGGUAGUCCCAGCC